GCGUGGUUAGCUCAACUGGUUAGAGCGCAUGGUUUACACCCAUGAGGUUAGGGAUUCGAGUUCCUUACUGCGCA
rnacentral:tRNA from 1 species